UGCGUAGGCGGACUAAUAAGUCAGUGGUGAAAUCUCUCGGCUCAACCGGGAAACUGCCAUUGAUACUGUUAGUCUUGAGUUCGGUUGAGGUAGGCGGAAUGUGUAAUGUAGCGGUGAAAUGCUUAGAUAUUACACAGAACACCAAUUGCGUAGGCAGCUUACUAGACCGACACUGACACUGAGGCACGAAAGCGUGGGUAGCGAACAGGAUUAGAUACCCUGGUAGUCC
rnacentral:rRNA from 1 species